AGCGAACGCUGGCGGCAGGCCUAACACAUGCAGGUCGAACGAAGUCUUCGGACUUAGUGGCGGACGGGUGAGUAACACGUGGGAACGUGCCUUUAGGUUCGGAAUAACUCAGGGAAACUUGUGCUAAUACCGAAUGUGCCCUUCGGGGGAAAGAUUUAUCGCCUUUAGAGCGGCCCGCGUCUGAUUAGCUAGUUGGUGAGGUAAAGGCUCACCAAGGCUACGAUCAGUAGCUGGUCUGAGAGGAUGACCAGCCACAUUGGGACUGAGACACGGCCCAAACUCCUACGGGAGGCAGCAGUGGGGAAUCUUGCGCAAUGGGCGAAAGCCUGACGCAGCCAUGCCGCGUGGAUGAUGAGGGUCUUAGGAUUGUAAAAUCCUUUCACCGGUGAAGAUAAUGACUGUAGCCGGAGAAGAAGCCCCGGCUAACUUCGUGCCAGCAGCCGCCGUAAUAC
rnacentral:rRNA from 1 species